ACUAAGCGUACACGGUGGAUGCCCUGGCAGUCAGAGGCGAUGAAGGACGUGCUAAUCUGCGAUAAGCGUCGGUAAGGUGAUAUGAACCGUUAUAACNCACACUAUCAUUAACUGAAUCCAUAGGUUAAUGAGGCGAACCGGGGGAACUGAAACAUCUAAGUACCCCGAGGAAAAGAAAUCAACCGAGAUUCCCCCAGUAGCGGCGAGCGAACGGGGAGCAGCCCAGAGCCUGAAUCAGUGUGUGUGUUAGUGGAAGCGUCUGGAAAGGCGCGCGAUACAGGGUGACAGCCCCGUACACAAAAAUGCACAUACUGUGAGCUCGAUGAGUAGGGCGGGACACGUGGUAUCCUGUCUGAAUAUGGGGGGACCAUCCUCCAAGGCUAAAUACUCCUGACUGACCGAUAGUGAACCAGUACCGUGAGGGAAAGGCGAAAAGAACCCCGGCGAGGGGAGUGAAAAAGAACCUGAAACCGUGUACGUACAAGCAGUGGGAGCNGUGACUGCGUACCUUUUGUAUAAUGGGUCAGCGACUUAUAUUCUGUAGCAAGGUUAACCGAAUAGGGGAGCCGAAGGGAAACCGAGUCUUAACCGGGCGUUAAGUUGCAGGGUAUAGACCCGAAACCCGGUGAUCUAGCCAUGGGCAGGUUGAAGGUUGGGUAACACUAACUGGAGGACCGAACCGACUAAUGUUGAAAAAUUAGCGGAUGACUUGUGGCUGGGGGUGAAAGGCCAAUCAAACCGGGAGAUAGCUGGUUCUCCCCGAAAGCUAUUUAGGUAGCGCCUCGUGAAUUCAUCUCCGGGGGUAGAGCACUGUUUCGGCAAGGGGGUCAUCCCGACUUACCAACCCGAUGCAAACUGCGAAUACCGGAGAAUGUUAUCACGGGAGACACACGGCGGGCGCUAACGUCCGUCGUGAAGAGGGAAACAACCCAGACCGCCAGCUAAGGUCCCAAAGUCAUGGUUAAGUGGGAAACGAUGUGGGAAGGCCCAGACAGCCAGGAUGUUGGCUUAGAAGCAGCCAUCAUUUAAAGAAAGCGUAAUAGCUCACUGGUCGAGUCGGCCUGCGCGGAAGAUGUAACGGGGCUAAACNAUGCUGGAGGUAUCAGAAGUGCGAAUGCUGACAUAAGUAACGAUAAAGCGGGUGAAAAGCCCGCUCGCCGGAAGACCAAGGGUUCCUGUCCAACGUUAAUCGGGGCAGGGUGAGUCGACCCCUAAGGCGAGGCCGAAAGGCGUAGUCGAUGGGAAACAGGUUAAUAUUCCUGUACUUGGUGUUACUGCGAAGGGGGGACGGAGAAGGCUAUGUUGGCCGGGCGACGGUUGUCCCGGUUUAAGCGUGUAGGCUGGUUUUCCAGGCAAAUCCGGAAAAUCAAGGCUGAGGCGUGAUGACGAGGCACUACGGUGCUGAAGCAACAAAUGCCCUGCUUCCAGGAAAAGCCUCUAAGCAUCAGGUAACAUCAAAUCGUACCCCAAACCGACACAGGUGGUCAGGUAGAGAAUACCAAGGCGUUUGAGAGAACUCGGGUGAAGGAACUAGGCAAAAUGGUGCCGUAACUUCGGGAGAAGGCACGCUGAUAUGUAGGUGAAGUCCCUCGCGGAUGGAGCUGAAAUCAGUCGAAGAUACCAGCUGGCUGCAACUGUUUAUUAAAAACACAGCACUGUGCAAACACGAAAGUGGACGUAUACGGUGUGACGCCUGCCCGGUGCCGGAAGGUUAAUUGAUGGGGUCAGCGCAAGCGAAGCUCUUGAUCGAAGCCCCGGUAAACGGCGGCCGUAACUAUAACGGUCCUAAGGUAGCGAAAUUCCUUGUCGGGUAAGUUCCGACCUGCACGAAUGGCGUAAUGAUGGCCAGGCUGUCUCCACCCGAGACUCAGUGAAAUUGAACUCGCUGUGAAGAUGCAGUGUACCCGCGGCAAGACGGAAAGACCCCGUGAACCUUUACUAUAGCUUGACACUGAACAUUGAGCCUUGAUGUGUAGGAUAGGUGGGAGGCUUUGAAGUGUGGACGCCAGUCUGCAUGGAGCCGACCUUGAAAUACCACCCUUUAAUGUUUGAUGUUCUAACGUGGACCCGUGAUCCGGGUUGCGGACAGUGUCUGGUGGGUAGUUUGACUGGGGCGGUCUCCUCCUAAAGAGUAACGGAGGAGCACGAAGGUUGGCUAAUCCUGGUCGGACAUCAGGAGGUUAGUGCAAUGGCAUAAGCCAGCUUGACUGCGAGCGUGACGGCGCGAGCAGGUGCGAAAGCAGGUCAUAGUGAUCCGGUGGUUCUGAAUGGAAGGGCCAUCGCUCAACGGAUAAAAGGUACUCCGGGGAUAACAGGCUGAUACCGCCCAAGAGUUCAUAUCGACGGCGGUGUUUGGCACCUCGAUGUCGGCUCAUCACAUCCUGGGGCUGAAGUAGGUCCCAAGGGUAUGGCUGUUCGCCAUUUAAAGUGGUACGCGAGCUGGGUUUAGAACGUCGUGAGACAGUUCGGUCCCUAUCUGCCGUGGGCGCUGGAGAACUGAGGGGGGCUGCUCCUAGUACGAGAGGACCGGAGUGGACGCAUCACUGGUGUUCGGGUUGUCAUGCCAAUGGCACUGCCCGGUAGCUAAAUGCGGAAGAGAUAAGUGCUGAAAGCAUCUAAGCACGAAACUUGCCCCGAGAUGAGUUCUCCCUGACCCUUUAAGGGUCCUGAAGGAACGUUGAAGACGACGACGUUGAUAGGCCGGGUGUGUAAGCGCAGCGAUGCGUUGAGCUAACCGGUACUAAUGAACCGUGAGGCUUAACC
rnacentral:rRNA from 1 species